CGCCUCCUGAAUACCCCUUAUAGGAGGUCCCGCCUGCCCUGUGAUAUAUAUUUAACGGCCGCGGUAUUUUGACCGUGCAAAGGUAGCGCAAUCACUUGUCUUUUAAAUGGAGACCUGUAUGAAUGGCAUAACGAGGGCUUAACUGUCUCCCUCCCCUAGUCAAUGAAAUUGAUCUUUCCGUGCAGAAGCGGGAAUGAGUCCAUAAGACGAGAAGACCCUGUGGAGCUUUAGACAAUAAAUAGCUCCUGUAAAGAACCCUCACUAAACGAGCUAAAACAAACGAAUGACUAUUUUGCUGUCUUUGGUUGGGGCGACCGCGGGGUAACAAAAAACCCCCAUGUGGAACAAGAACACCCUUCUUUAAACCAAGAGCACCUCCUCGAAGUAACAGAACAUCUGACCUAAUAUGACCCGGCCUUGCCGAUCAACGGAACCAGUUACCCCAGGGAUAACAGCGCAAUCCUCUCCCAGAGCCCAUAUCGACGAGGGGGUUUACGACCUCGAUGUUGGAUCAGGACAUCCUAAUGGUGCAGCCGCUAUUAAGGGUUCGUUUGUUCAACGAUUAAAGUCCU
rnacentral:rRNA from 1 species